rnacentral:lncRNA from 1 species
GUUAAGGACAUCCCAUAAGGUAGGGUGCUGGUCUAUAGUGCAUUAGAGUACAAGGGGAGGGCUGGUCCUAGGAGAUAUCCCAUAUGGAUUGUAGCACUUGGUACCUUGGUACUAGUAUAUAAGGAAAGGGUUGGCAUGAGAAGAAUUAUCUCAUACCACACUCUAUUUGUUAUAGUGCAACCUUGCUGGUCCUAACUUA